AUGGAAAAACCAAAUGCCAAAAUAAUCAAUGUGGGCUCUCCAAAAGCAAAAUCUCCCAGGCCGGUGAUGAAAGUGAGUGAAACAUACCCCAUCAUUUAUGCUGAAGAAGAAUAUAUGCAAAACUUUAUUUUGAAGAGGUGGCUGCAUUUACAUGGAGAUAAAGUGUCUUAUGACUCAGAAAAGGAAAAUGGUGAGGUACAAACAAAUCCAAAUUCAGUUUUACAAAACAACUGCGAUUAUGCCCUUGCCUUAGUUGGAAAGGAAGAAAAGAAUACUUUUAAUGUAGCUGUGAAGGGGAAUAAAAAGCUAAAAAGAACAUUAUCCGGGAAACGGAAAAUCACUAUUCAUAUUUUAUCUUCAGAUGGAAAAAGUAGGAGCUUAAAAGAUUCACAGAAGGAAAAAACUUUUGUGCAGAAAAUAGUUGGUAGCUUUCAUGAUGUUGAAGUACCAAUCAGUAAGCUUACAUCAAAAGACAGGAAUGUUUCAGCAACAGGGGCUGAAUGUAACCCUGAUGGCCUUGUUAUAUUUGGAGUAAACCCAAAAGCUGCAGCACACCAAUCUGCCAAAGCAAAUGCAGCAACCGUCACUAAAUCUCACGGCUCUUACAGCAAGCCACUAACCAUGGCCUCCCAGCUUCAAAAAAAAGGCAGGUUGGCUCAUUCAUCACAGUUGGAUUAUAUAUCCAUAACAAAACCUAUUAAAAUACCUGACUGUCCAAAUGUCAAUUCAGAGUCAUUUCACAAAAUCUCAAUGAAACGUGAUCAUUUGGAAAACAAAAGGAUUAUUCUGUCUGGGGCUUGUUUUAAGGAAAAACCUCCACUUAGUCAGAACAAUGAAGUAUCCAAACCUGCCAGGUGUUCUCAACCAGAUUCUUGCAAGGAAGAAACAUCAGCUGAGAAAAAGCUAAAUAAUAAGGAACAUUGCAUAGAUAGUAGGAAAGGCCAAGAAUGGGAUAAUACUGUGGAAUUCUGGAGCACUCGCAGAUCUUCAGCAUCACUGAAAAAUUCACAUGCAGUGCCAGACAACAGCCCUGAGCCCCAGAAAAAAGCAAUGCUACCUGAACGUCCAGCAUCAUUACCUGUUAACUUCAAUCAUCCAAUUAUUAGUAUACCAACCGCACAAUGUGAUGCCUCGGAAUUCAGGAUAAAAAAAGUUGAUGCUGAAUUUACAGACGACACUGAUACUCCAAAGGACACCAGUCGUUACAAUUAACUGAUGCUCUCACUACAACCCCAGCACCUCUGCAGGCUUCUGGUGGCUGGUGAGAGGAAGGCAGCUGGAAGACUGGAGUUAACCAUCUGGUG
rnacentral:lncRNA from 1 species